UCUCUUAUUUGCAGAGGUGCUCAACCAUAGUGCCCCGGGAAGCGUGGACGGCUGCUGGGCUGGCUGGCUGGCUGCUGACUGGUGCGUAUUUCCAGGUACGGGCCUCUUGUGAAGACAGGCAUCCUGACUGAGUCUGUCAGUGGGCUGAAAUAAUCACACACAUUGUAUCGGUCUACCUUUCUGUUUGUGGUGUACUCUUGACGUACCGCUCAGCAACGCCACACAAACUGUGAAGCCUCUACAGCACAGAGGCACUAAGCUCCACACUUCCAGAGACCAAAGCGGCUGUCAGUCUACUAAUGGCUUAUGUCCAUCUUGAUGGUUAAUGCUUCAACAUUGUAUCAUCACUCCCAC
rnacentral:lncRNA from 1 species